GACGAACGCUGGCGGCGUGCCUAAUACAUGCAAGUCGAGCGCAGGAAACCGUCUGAACCCUUCGGGGGGACGACGGCGGAAUGAGCGGCGGACGGGUGAGUAACACGUAAAGAACCUGCCCACGGGUCUGGGAUAACCACGAGAAAUCGGGGCUAAUACCGGACGGGUCAUCGGACCGCAUGGUCCGAGGAUGAAAGGCGCUCCGGCGUCGCCCGUGGAUGGCUUUGCGGUGCAUUAGCUAGUUGGUGGGGUAGCGGCCCACCAAGGCGACGACGCAUAGACGACCUGAGAGGGGGAGCGGCCACACUGGGACUGAGACACGGCCCAGACUCCUACGGGAGGCAGCAGUAGGGAAUCUUCCACAAUGGACGAAAGUCUGAUGGAGCAACGCCGCGUGAGGGAUGAAUGUGUUCGGACUGUAAACCUCUGUUGUAAGGGAAGAAUAAGUAAAGCAGGAAAUGGCUUUACCUUGACGGUACCUUGCCAGAAAGCGACGGCUAACUACGUGCCAGCCGCCGCGGUAAAAC
rnacentral:rRNA from 1 species